AGUAAUACCUGGGAAUCUGUUUAAGAUCAUUGACAGGCCUGAGAGUUUUCCGUACGGCCUGCACCCUAACCUCUGGGAAGAAAAUAUCCACAACGUAAUUUCUACAAGACUACAGGAAGGAAAGAGGCAACAAGGAUUCCAUUUCUACUAGGAGUAUCAACCUCUGAGAGGGAUAUAUCCAUCUCUGUGGAUGUCAUCUGGUCUGCAGAAAACCCUUUCCUGGAACUCCCAGGAAACAUGAAUCUGAUGUGGACCCUCCUCCUUUUCCUCCUUUUGGACCUAACUGUCUUGACUCCAGCCCUGUCCUUCUCAACACGACAUAUAGACAACCCCAGUUCUUGGGUCCCUAGAGGACACCACCGAUACUGUGAUGUGAUGAUGAGGCGCCGUUGGCUGAUCUAUAGGGGUAAAUGCAAGCAGAUCCACACAUUCAUUCAUAGAAUCUGACCACCAUAGCAGAUUUCUGCAGAACUCCACCACUGCCCUGUACCAACAGCCCCUCCAUGUGCAGCUGCCACAACAGUACUCAUGAUGUCAAUAUCACUGACUGCUUUGCCAGCACAGGGAUCUGACCUCUUCACUGCCACUACCAAAAAUAAGGAGUCCACGAGGCCCAUGCGAGUGGGCUGCAAGAAGGGGGCACCUGUUCACCUGGAUGGCUAGGUUCCUCCUGACACCGGCACCUGAGUGACUUGCACCCUACGCCUUCAAAUCUUUGCAGCACUGUCAAGGUGUUCUUUGUAAAUGCUUCGCCCUUUGCA
rnacentral:antisense_RNA from 1 species